rnacentral:rRNA from 1 species
CCCUUAGAUGUUCUGGGCCGCACGCGCGCUACACUGAUGCAUUCAACGAGUUUUGUUUGUUCCUUGGCCGAGAGGCCUGGGCAAUCUUUUGAACUUGCAUCGUGAUAGGGAUAGAUUAUUGCAAUUAUUAAUCUUGAACGAGGAAUUCCUAGUAAACGCAGAUCAUCAAUCUGCAUUGAUUACGUCCCUGCCCUUUGUACACACCGCCCGUCGCUACUACCGAUUGAACGGUUUAGUGAGGGCCUCGGAUUGGUCUCGGCCCGCUCUUCACCGGGCGGCGCCGUUGGUCGAGAAGACGCUCGAACUUGAUCGUUUAGAGGAAGUAAAAGUCGUAACA